CAUAUCAAUAAGCGGAGGAAAAGAAACCAACAGGGAUUGCCCUAGUAACGGCGAGUGAAGCGGCAACAGCUCAAAUUUGAAAGCUGGCUUAGGCCCGCAUUGUAAUUUGCAGAGGAUGCUUCUGGCGAGGUGCCUUCCGAGUUCCCUGGAACGGGACGCCAUAGAGGGUGAGAGCCCCGUAUGGAUGGACACCAGACCUGUGUGAAGCUCCUUCAACGAGUCGAGUAGUUUGGGAAUGCUGCUCUAAAUGGGAGGUAAAUCUCUUCUAAAGCUAAAUACCGGCCAGAGACCGAUAGCGCACAAGUAGAGUGAUCGAAAGAUGAAAAGCACCUUGAAAAGGGGGUUAAACAGUACGUGAAAUUGUUGAAAGGGAAGCGCUUGUGACCAGACUUGCGCCGGGCAGCUCAUCAGGGGUUCUCCCCUGUGCACUCUGCCCGGCUCAGGCCAGCAUCGGUUCUCGUGGGAGGAUAAGAACGGUAGGAACGUGGCCCCCCUUCGGGGGGGUGUUAUAGCCUGCCGUACGAUACUCCCGUGGGGACCGAGGUUCGCGCUCCGCAAGGAUGCUGGCGUAAUGGUCAUCAGCGACCCGUCUUGAAACACGGACCAAGGAGUCGUCCAUUAGAGCGAGCGUUUGGGUGUAAAACCCGCACGCGUAAUGAAAGUGAACGCAGGUGAGAGCUUCGGCGCAUCAUCGACCGAUCCUGAUGUCUUCGGAUGGAUUUGAGUAAGAGUUUUAACGGACGGACCCGAAAGACAGUGAACUAUGCUUGUAUAGGGUGAAGCCAGAGGAAACUCUGGUGGAGGCUCGCAGCGGUUCUGACGUGCAAAUCGAUCGUCAAAUAUGAGCAUGGGGGCGAAAGACUAAUCGAACUGUCUAGUAGCUGGUUACCGC
rnacentral:rRNA from 1 species